rnacentral:misc_RNA from 1 species
AAGUGAGGAAAAUGGAUGUUCCUGUUAAUUGGUUAAUUUCUAUGUUGUUGGUUGAAGAAGGAUGCUAACCGCCCUUGAGAAAAUGUUGCUAGCGGGAAGCGUCGUUCGUGAGAAAAGCAGAUUUCCCGUAUCUUCCCGUAGUAGAUUUAUAGCGGGUCCUCAGGCUAGCUGUACAUGCACUGUGAAGAUGCAUCGACAUCUGGUAAUCAUCUUGCCCGAAGAAUAGGGUUUGUGUGUGGCGAGCCACGAGAUAGAAACCAUUGGAAUGUUUACUGUUGACUGCCGCUACCACUAUUUCUUUUUAAGAAGAG